CUUCAGUGCAGCCAGUGAAAGCCUUUUCUGGGAUUGUGUCUGCACUCUGUCCAGAUCUACGCAGGUCUUCCUGCCCCAUAGAGGGCAGGGUCACCCUUGUCAAGGGUCACUGCCUUGUCCCGGAGCUAUGGAGCCGCUAGUAUAGAAGUCAGUGAGAAUCCAGCCACACACAGGAACCCGGCCAUGAAGGAACUGGGCUCAGGUUCAAAAAAAUUCUACCCAGAAGAAAGAACAUGGUCUACGGUCUUGGAAGGAAAGUUUAGCUGCCUAGCUCAGAGGAGGAGUUCACUUCAGGGAGAGCACGGAAGUGACUUAUACUUCUGCCAGCUAUGCAGGAAGAUGGAGACUGCAGGACUGGGAAAUGCUUUCGUAUCAAAGGCACAAAAGUGAAAUGGCAAUGCCCAUGUCACCUGCUGAAAAACAGCUGUGGACACUGUACAUGUAGUUCAUUAUUUGAACAAAAAACUCUUACGUGGGUAAGACAGCAGUUUCUGUGAGUUCUCCAAAUGCUAUCAUUAAAAUAUUAGUGAUGAAAGUCACCAAAAGUUGCCAGUUACCCUAAUAAUAUUUAUUUAAACUUACUGCCAAUUACCCUAAGAGCAUAUGCUGAUGUCUAAAUAUGCAAGCAGAAAAACAGCUAGUAAACAUGCAACUAAGUCAGCCUAGAGAUAACAGUUUUCAUUUUCAUUUUCUUUUAUUUUUAUUCUCUAUAUUUUGAGUAAUUAUGAUAAUUAGAAAAUGAGCUAAUAAAUUACGAACCUUUAGAAUAAAAAGUCUGUUAUUCCUAC